rnacentral:rRNA from 1 species
UACGUAGGGGCAAGCGUUGUCCGGAAUCAUUGGGCGUAAAGCGCGUGUAGGCGGCUUCGUCAGUCCGUUGUGGAAGUCCAGGGCUCAACCCUGGAAUGCCGAUGGAUACUGCGGAGCUAGAGUCCGGAAGAGGCGAGUGGAAUUCCUGGUGUAGCGGUGAAAUGCGCAGAUAUCAGGAGGAACACCAAUGGCGAAGGCAGCUCGCUGGGACGGUACUGACGCUGAGACGCGAAAGCGUGGGGAGCAAACAGG